AACGGAGAGUUUGAUCCUGGCUCAGGAUGAACGCUGGCGGCGUGCUUAACACAUGCAAGUCGAACGAACCNUCGGGUUAGUGGCGGACGGGUGAGUAACGCGUGAGAAUCUGCCCUCAGGAGGGGGAUAACGGCUGGAAACGGCCGCUAAUACCCCAUAUGCCGAGAGGUGAAAUGAAUUUCGCCUGAGGAUGAGCUCGCGUCUGAUUAGCUAGUUGGUGGGGUAAGAGCCUACCAAGGCGUCGAUCAGUAGCUGGUCUGAGAGGAUGAUCAGCCACACUGGGACUGAGACACGGCCCAGACUCCUACGGGAGGCAGCAGUGGGGAAUUUUCCGCAAUGGGCGAAAGCCUGACGGAGCAACGCCGCGUGAGGGAUGAAGGCCUCUGGGCUGUAAACCUCUUUUCUCAAGGAAGAAGAUCUGACGGUACUUGAGGAAUAAGCCACGGCUAAUUCCGUGCCAGCAGCCGCGGUAAUACGGGAGUGGCAAGCGUUAUCCGGAAUUAUUGGGCGUAAAGCGUCCGCAGGCGGCCUCGUAAGUCUGUUGUCAAAGCGUGGAGCUUAACUCCAUUUCGGCAAUGGAAACUGUGAGGCUUGAGUGUGGUAGGGGCAGAGGGAAUUCCCGGUGUAGCGGUGAAAUGCGUAGAUAUCGGGAAGAACACCAGUGGCGAAGGCGCUCUGCUGGGCCAUAACUGACGCUCAUGGACGAAAGCCAGGGGAGCGAAAGGGAUUAGAUACCCCUGUAGUCCUGGCCGUAAACGAUGAACACUAGGUGUCGGGGGAAUCGACCCCCUCGGUGUCGUAGCCAACGCGUUAAGUGUUCCGCCUGGGGAGUACGCACGCAAGUGUGAAACUCAAAGGAAUUGACGGGGGCCCGCACAAGCGGUGGAGUAUGUGGUUUAAUUCGAUGCAACGCGAAGAACCUUACCAGGGUUUGACAUCCUGCGAACCCCUGAGAAAUCGGGGGGUGCCUUCGGGAGCGCAGUGACAGGUGGUGCAUGGCUGUCGUCAGCUCGUGUCGUGAGAUGUUGGGUUAAGUCCCGCAACGAGCGCAACCCACGUCUUUAGUUGCCAGCAUUCAGUUGGGCACUCUAGAGAGACCGCCGGUGAUAAACCGGAGGAAGGUGUGGAUGACGUCAAGUCAUCAUGCCCCUUACAUCCUGGGCUACACACGUACUACAAUGCUACGGACAAAGGGCAGCAAACUCGCGAGAGCUAGCAAAUCCCAUAAACCGUGGCUCAGUUCAGAUCGUAGGCUGCAACUCGNCUACGUGAAGGAGGAAUCGCUAGUAAUCGCAGGUCAGCAUACUGCGGUGAAUACGUUCCCGGGCCUUGUACACACCGCCCGUCACACCAUGGAAGUUGGCCACGCCCGAAGCCGUUACUCCAACCCUUGUGGAGGAGGACGUCGAAGGUGGGGCUGAUGACUGGGGUGAAGUCGUAACAAGGUAGCCGUACCGGAAGGUGCGGCUGGAUCACCUCCUAA
rnacentral:rRNA from 1 species